GCCUGGGUGGCUCAGUCGGUUGGGCAUCCGACUUCAGCUCAGGUCAUGGUUUUGUGGUGUGUGGGUUCGAGCCCCAUGUCAGGCU
rnacentral:tRNA from 1 species